GAUGAACGCUGGCGGCGUGCCUAAUACAUGCAAGUCGAGCGAACAGACGAGGAGCUUGCUCCUUCGACGUUAGCGGCGGACGGGUGAGUAACACGUAGGUAACCUACCUAUAAGACUGGGAUAACUUCGGGAAACCGGAGCUAAUACCGGAUAAUAUUUCAAACCGCAUGGUUCGAUAGUGAAAGAUGGCUUUGCUAUCACUUAUAGAUGGACCUGCGCCGUAUUAGCUAGUUGGUAAGGUAACGGCUUACCAAGGUAACGAUACGUAGCCGACCUGAGAGGGUGAUCGGCCACACUGGAACUGAGACACGGUCCAGACUCCUACGGGAGGCAGCAGUAGGGAAUCUUCCGCAAUGGGCGAAAGCCUGACGGAGCAACGCCGCGUGAGUGAUGAAGGUCUUCGGAUCGUAAAACUCUGUUAUUAGGGAAGAACAAACGUGUAAGUAACUGUGCACGUCUUGACGGUACCUAAUCAGAAAGCCACGGCUAACUACGUG
rnacentral:rRNA from 1 species